AUACUUCCCCUCCUUCCUGUCACGAGCCACGCCGAACUGCCCUGACGCCAUGAAGAAAGAGCUGCUCCGGAGCCUGACGGAGUGUCUGACGGUGGACGGACAGAGUUUGAGCGUCUGGAGGCAGUUAUACACCAAACACCUGUCGCAGUCCAGUCUUCUGCUGAGUCACCUGCUGCAGUCCUGGAGCACUCUUCCACCGAAGUUGCAGAAAAACCUUCAGGACACCAUCCAGUAGUUCAGAGUGACCAAUGACGAGCUUCAGAGCAGCACAAACACACAGCACAUCAGCGACUGCAGCUGCCUCUGCCACGUAAGACACACACACACACA